UAGUUGUCCUGAUGCACGACCCAGCUGCCGUAUCUACAAUAAAUAAAUAAUUAAAUUAAAUUAAUUAAAAUAUACAUAUAAUCAAUUUAAUAUGAAAUUAAUUUAAGUAUAGAAUUUUUACUAAUCUAUCAGCCACAACAUAUGUGCCAAUGGAGCCGCUAGUGUGCUUGAUCGGAUGCUGCUGGGUGAACCAAUUCUGUCGUGCUUUCUGCCGUCUAUUAGAAUACUCCUUAGUACUCUACUGGUCACAGAGGGCCUCCC
rnacentral:lncRNA from 1 species